AACGAACGCUGGCGGCGUGGCUAAGGCAUGCAAGUCGAACGAACCUUUCUGCGGGGUAACCCAAAGUUUGGUUAGUGGCGAACGGGUGAGGAAUACAUGGACAACGUACCCCGGACUCAGGAAUAGCGGCGGGACUUCGGUCCCUUUGCGAAAGUGCCGGUAAUACCUGAUGAUCUCGUAGUAUCGCAUGAUACAUCGAGCAAAGCCCCGACGGUCCGGGAGCGGUUCAUGUCCUAUCAGCUUGUUGGUGGGGUAAUGGCCUACCAAGGCGGCGACGGGUAUCGGGCGUGAGAGCGUGAACCGACACAUCGGAACUGAGAUACGGUCCGGACACCUACGGGUGGCUGCAGCAACGAAUAUUCCGCAAUGGACGAAAGUCUGACGGAGCGACGCCGCGUGCAGGAAGAAGUCCCUCGGGAUGUAAACUGCUGUCAGGGGUUAGGAAGAACUGACCAGCCCCAAAGAAGCACCGCUAACU
rnacentral:rRNA from 1 species